UUUUGCUAAAAAAAAAAUAAAAAAAAUUCGUUAAGUCCAAAUCUUGGCGCUUAACCGUGGUGACCCAGGAAGGAGUAGUUUAUUGGAAAAUGGGAAUCCGCCCCCAAAAUAUUGUCAAUUCAAGUUCCCACCACCGCCAUCAGCAUGGACCCUAAUCCAAUGGCAACUGCUGACUAAAAACCCGUUAUUUUCUUCUCAUUAAUUUAUUCAUUUCCCCAAUUCACCACUUUCCCCAACUUGUUUCUCUUCUCUGCCCCCAAACUUGAUUUAGGGUUUGGGUAUCCCGCCCCCCCUCCCCUCCUCCUUCCUUCUCUCUCUCCACACUCAACGACUUCGUCGCAGUUCCUCAAUAACCUUUUCGAUUCCCUCAGAAGUCGUAGUCCCUGCAGCUCAAAGUUUCAAUUUUUCUCAAUCCCCUUUCCGGCUCUUCUCCUUUUCAGAAACCCUAAGUUCUCAUUAUUGAUUUAUUUCGCGUUGGAUAUCUUGGAUUGUUGAUCUGAUCGGCUUGCAUUCGUGUUGAGGAGAAUUCUUUCGGAUUGUUCGAUUGGCGAAUUCUGGUGGAGCUGGGAUAAAAAGGAAAAUCUUUAUUUAGUGGCUAUUUUCAAAGAUUUCCUCAGGUGCCUGUUCUGCUGGAUAUAGCCGUAAAAAGGUUCGGAUUUUUUAUUUAGGCUGUGUUUAUUUCUAAUAGAUUACCUUAUUGCUGCAACUAGCACAUUCCUUUCAGUGAUUAGGUUGUGAUUUGUUUUAUAUAUUUACUGAGGAGUCUUUGAUCCAAAUCCUCUAAAUUGUGUCCCAGAGGGGUUCCUUUGAUUUAUGUUAUAAUGAUAAUGAUGCCUGUCUGACCAAAGGAAGGUUCUUGUA